rnacentral:lncRNA from 1 species
CCCUUCAAACACAUUCUUUUUCUCAAGCCUCCUUGCAUUGAAUUCAUUGAAGACCUGGCACAGUACGAAAGUAUUGAAUAUCAAGGUGUCCUUUACCUUCUCGCUCACACCAAAGAUUGAUUCUCCUUUGAAUUGUAAGGUCAAGAGGACAGCUAUCUGAUACAUUGCUUGGGCUAGUAAAUUCCUCCACAUGAUGUUGGUGAUAAGUGGCCCCGUCCGACCCACAGGUGGUCUAUCCAUGAGCUCAUUGGUGGGUUGCUCUGUGGCGAGAGCAAGUGCACCUAGUGUAUCCAUGAUCAAGUUUACCCACAAUAAUUGCACUGCUGUUAAGGGGACCUCACCAGCUGAAACUGCUGCUACAAAGUUGAUUACAAGAGCUGCAACAUUCACUGUAAGCUGGAACUGGAUGAAUUUCUGAAUGUUGUUAUAAACACACCUUCCCCACCUCAAAACUGUUGCUACCGAAGCAAAAUUAUCAUCCAAGAUGAUGAUAUCUGAGCUCUCUUUGGCCACUUCAGUGCCCUGUAUCCCCAUAGAAAGUCCUAUGUCGGCUUCUUUUAAUGCUGGUGCAUCAUUUGUGCCAUCACCUGUGACUGCAACCACAUGACCAUUCUGUUUCAAGCACUGUACCAUAAGAAGUUUAUCAAAGGGAGAGGAUCUAGCCAUCACACGAAUUUUGUCAACUUUCUCCAUUCUCUCUUCUGGGGUGUAAUUCCGAAAUACCUCACCUUCUACCACUGCCUCAUUGUUUAUGCCUUGAUCAGGUCUUAGUAUUCCACAUUCAGUGGCUAUGGCUCUUGCAGUGAAAACAUUAUCACCAGUGAUCAUUUUCACAUUCACUCCCGCAUGUUGGCAAUCUUCCACAGCUUUUCUCACCCCUGGUCUACAUGGGUCCUUAAUCCCUACCAGUCCUACAAAGGCCAAGCCAUCUUCUUUUAGCUUUUGGGUGGCUUCUCUAAUUUCAUGUUCUUCCUCUAGAAUCUGUUUAUGUGCAAAAGCAAUGCAGCGGAGGCUGCUAGCAGCCAUACCUUGAAUUAUUUGCUCAAAUGUCUUUCGUUCACAAUCAUCCAGAUCUUUCAUGCUUCCAGAAGCAUCAUAAUAACUCGAACACAUUGCUAGUAUCAUCUCUGCAGCUCCCUUCCAGUGCACGUGGAUUGUGUUAUCAGCCUUACUCCUUAUUGAAACCCCACUUCUUUUCUUCUCCGAAUUGAAGGCUUCAACAUGGAGAAUUGUACAAUUCUGCUUCAGUAUCUCCAUGUCCAUAUCAAGUUCCAGUACAGCCCAUGAAAGAAUUGCUUUUUCAGUUGGACUACCAAAGAACUCGAACUUAUAAGAUCCUGAGGUAGCCCUGUAAACGCUACCAGUUGUGUUCAAAGCAACUCCUUGUUGGAUAAGGUUAAGAAGAUUUUCUGAAAUUGAAGAGGAAACUUCAAUAGGUUCUUGGCCAAGCCAAAUCUUUGUCACCUUCAUCUGGUUCAUAGUGAGAGUACCUGUUUUGUCAGUACAAAUUGUGGUGGCAGAGCCCAUGGUCUCACAGGCAGAGAGCUUUCGAACCAUAGCCUGGUCAGCCAUCAUUCUCUUCAUUGAAUAAGCAAGAGUGAGUGUGACAGCCAAUGGCAGGCCUUCCGGAAUUGCAACAACCACAAUGGUAACUGCAGUAGCAAUGAUUUCGACCACAGCAUUCACUAUAUCAUCAGCCUUUGUUUUGCUGCCAUUGAACUCCUGAUUUCCAUUCUCAUCUUCUGUAUUCCCAGUGAAAUAGCGAACCAACAACACUAAAAGAACUAGAAAAGCAACUGCCAAACCAGCCUUACCUAUUGAUGAGGUAAGUUUGUUGAGCCUGGCUUGUAAUGGUGUUUGUUCAUUAGUGUCGCGGCUGAUUGUGCUCAUCAUCUGGCCCCAUGUUGUGUUCAUACCAACAGAUGUCACAAGCAUUUGAGCAUAUCCAUCUGCCACUUUGGUUCCAGAAAACAAAAAUGGAUUAUGGCUGCUAUUAACUUCAACAUGGUCACUCUCCCCAGUCAUGCUGGAUUCAUCCACUUGUAGUGAAUGCCCAUCCAAGAACAACCCAUCGGCAGGAACUUGGUCACCGAUUUUUAAGCUAACAACAUCUCCAACGACUAUUUCAAAUAUAGAGAUCUGCUGACGGCGCCCAUUUCUGAAAACAUCAAUUUUGAUAUUGUUGCUGACUUUAGACAACUUUUCGAACUGUCUGUUUUGCCUGAAGUUGCUCACAGCAGAGACAGAAAUGACUAGAAUGACGGCUACAAAUAUGCUUCCACCAUCAUACCACCCUUCCUUCAGCCCAUGCUCUUUAAUUCCAAAACCGAGAGACAGCGCGGCACAAAAUAGAAGUAUGAGAAUGGUAAGAUCCUUAAAAGCUUCCACCACGAAGUGGAAUAAGCUUUUAGUGGGCGGCCUCUUGUAUGUGUUUGAACCGAAAGCUUCCUGUCUGAGAGCAACAUCGUCAACAGCACCACUGAUGCCAUUUUUGAUAUCUGUUUCUAGAGCAUCAGCCACGCCUUCAACUCCUCCAGAUUCAAGAAGCAGUUUUAAGUUUUUCUCCUUCACAAUUUCAGUGAGAGUUGUCUGAUCAAUGCUUGAGAAGGCAUCGGGCUUAACAUUGAGGACAACAAAGGAAGGAGUAGCAACUGGAAGUUUGCUGCUAUUCUUCUUCUCAUUGAGAAGAGAAUGUAAAACCCUGGCACAAUAGAUAGUAGCAAAGGCUAAGUGCCAUCGCUUGUUGGGUUUGCUAAGGGUGCUUGGCACAUCGAGUAUGGACUCUAUGCAAUUUAAGUUAACAUGCAAAAUACUGGACAUGCUUUGUGGCAGGCAAAAGGGUAUGUAACAAUGAUGCGGCGGAACAAAGACUAACAAUUUUACAAAAAUGCAAAUUGAAGAACAGAGAAGGAAGGAAAUGAGAACUAUAGCGCCUUACACGGAGAAAAUCUCUGAGACAAAACACAUGAAACUGGAAAAGGCAGGUGAGUAUAGAAGUUCAUGUUACCACGUCUUAUAAGGUGGGUGUGAUACGCGUCAGUCUUAUCCUUAAGACUGGUCAACUGAAACUUGGAAACCAAUUCAUGGACUCCUUUACAGGAAUAAACUUUGCAAUUACAUGGUUGGAACCUUUCAAUUUACAGAGAAGUAUGUGGGUAGUGCUGGUUCAGUCUCAUCUAAGGCACUGAAACUUAAUAUAAAUGCUAAGGAAUCGAAUAUGAAAUGGUGUAAAGGAGAUGUUACUGAUCAAGAAAUUUAAUCUGAUAAUAAUAAAUGAGAGAAAUUGCUAUGAACUGAUGAACAGAGCAUGAGGAGCUGGCCGCUUUACUGGAGUAUGUGGGUGUUUGUUCUCUGCUCUUCUGCAUUGCCCAUCACUAUAGCCUGCAGAUGCUGAGCUUUGUCAAUGACAACUGCUCCGUUGUCGCUCAUGGGAGAAUAGUCCAAGGUUGAAAGGAUGAGAAACCUAGUCUAUAAGGAAUUUUCUUUAAUAACAAUAAAGAGAGAAAAAAAAGAAAGAAAGAAGAUAAGCCAAGCUUCUUGCCUAUCAGGGAAUUUUUUAUCAUUGGUGAACUGUAUUAUUUUAUAAUAAUUGUUGGUACAAAAACAGGAAAACCUCUGAGAAAAUAGAAAACAGAACAUGACGUAAUUAUUUUUAAAUGUUUUUUAAUUAUUGUUUUAAAAAUUAAUUAUAUAAAUAAAAAAAUAUGUAUGAAAAUAAAGCAAAUAAAAAUUAUUUUUUAAAACUAAAUUAAAAAUAUUUUAAAUUCUCAAAUAAACUUAUAUAUAUAUAUAAACUAUCACAACCAUAUUUUAAAAAACAAUUCUUAAAAAUUAUUUUUAAAAAAUUUUAAAAUUAUUAUUUUAAUUAAUCUGUUUACUUUGAGGCAAUGUUAAAACUAAAAAGUUUCCAAAUGCUUGAAUACUUAUAUUGAAGUUUUCAUAAUCUUGAUCAAAGCAAGAGUAACAUGCACUCCAUGUUGAAUUCCUUAAUCCCUAAAGUCUUUUAAUGUAGAUAGUUUUUGUGUUAGUGACUGCCAUACACCGUAAUGGACAUUAUGCUUUUCCCAAUUUCACCUUACAUUAGUGAUCCUUCCUUUGGAGAAAUAUUAGUCAAAUUUCAUUGUUUAAACUUGUAAGGAUUCCCGCAUUGAAAAUUCUUCCUUAUUUGCCAAUAUUCUUCUUAUUUAAAGAUCGACUUUUUCUGUUACCUUUAUUCAUAUAAGAAGAGUGUUUGACGGGCAAAAAAGAUUGUCAUUUAAGGGUGCAAUUUAGAUGAGUUUUGAAGUUGAUUUUUGUCUAAAUUGUCACCAAUAUUUCUUAUUCACGUCAAGUUUAAUCUAAAAUAAAGUUGAAAUUUCCUAAACCACACACCACUUUCAUGGAUCAUUCGGAUUCUCAGCUUAUUAAAUAAAAUAAUUGUUUUAAUAUCUAUAAAAUAUAAGUCAUAUUAUGAAAUAAAAUAUUGAUCGAAAAUGAAAUGCUUUUUCUAUUUCUCUUUUUUUAAUUCUUAUUAUAUCGUACAUAAAUUCCUAUAUGAAAAGUAUGGAUUUAUUUUAUAAAAUCACUUUUAAACUUUUGAAAUUUGAGGUACUACCUCAAUUUUAUUAAAAGAUUUGUAAAAAUUAUUAUCAAUUUUAUGUAAGUUCAUAAAAAAUCUUACAUUUUUAUAUAAUAGUUAUUAGUAAUUUUGGUUUUUAAAAAUUAAAAACAAUAAAUGACAUCUAAAGUUAUAAAAUAAAUUCUUAAUUAUGAUUAACAUAAAUAAUUAUUCAUAAAUGUAAAUUUCAAUUGUCAACGAUAUCUUAACAAUUAAAGGAAAACGAUAAACUCAUUAGUUUAACACAAUGAAAAACCAAAGAAAAACCAAGUUCAAUCCCGAUCAUUCAAACUUUUUCCACACCAACCCAAAGACCGGGUUGGUAGGUCUAUAACCCUAAUUCUAAUAGCUUUUUUUUCUCUUUUUUUUUCCCUCGAAAUUUUUUUUAUAAUAUCUGAGAAACUUCCGAAUCAAUAAACAUCGUAAUGUUAAGGACAGGAAUCCAAUGGUUUUAGUUGGAGUAACAUUCACACAAUUGACGGAAUCUUUUAGGAAACUUUGCUAUCAAUGAAUGGGAUGUAGGAAAGAGCCGGAAUGACUUCCCUACUUGCACGAAGAAUAUAUAUAUCAAAAGCAAUACAAGGGAAUCAAGCAUAUGGCAAUCUAGUAUUCAUUCCUAUCAUUUAAUCUUGAAUAUUAUGCACUAGCAUGUUUCAAGAACCAUGCUAUUGCAAUUGUGAAAUAGAAAGAGUAUCCCAUCCGGGGCAGAGCUUGGAAAGACGUUGACGGAAGAAUAUAUGAGACUUAUAUCAGAUAUGAUACCAUCAAAUUAUUUAAGUAGCUAGUUUCUUAAGGCUAUAUUCGGUUCUCAAAAAAUUUGAAGGAAAAUAAAAGGAAAAGAAAAUACAAGGAAAAGUAAAAAAAGAAAAGAAAAAAAUGACCGAAAAUAAAAAAAAUAUAUUAAAAGUAGAUAAAUUAUUUUUUUUGUUACUUCAAAUUUAUUUUAUUUAUUUUAACUCAUCAAUAUAAAAAUUAAAUAAUUUAAAAAUACAUAAAUUUUUAAUUAGUUUUAAUUAUAUUUAAUUUUUUUUUGAAUAUUUUUUAUCUGAUAAUCAAACAUAAAAAAAUUAUUUUUCUUUGUAUUUUUUUUCUUUUUUUAAUAUUUUUUUUUAAACCAAACAUAACCUAAAACUUUUGAGGGACAAAGUUGGCUAAAUGGCUUUGCUCUGCCCUAGGGAUCAAUUUACUGAGUAGCCUCUGGGGAUGUUCCGCUGGUUUCAUCAUUUCUGGUUUAUAUGAUGACUUUGCUUGGUCAAAAACAACUUCCAGAAGAAACCCAGCAAACCCCAGAGUCUGAUGUUGGAAGAUGUGAUACAUACCCAAUGGGCAAUCGAGUCAAUUCCCAUGAAUCUAGGCAACUGCAUCGACAUAGCGAGUUCGUAGGCAAAAAUUUAACUAAAGACGUAAUCGUUUCAUAUGUUGUAAAAGUUGAACCGAUGUCAUGUGAGGAUUAGGUUGGUUCAAUCCAGUCUGAUUCAUGUGAGGAUUUUUUUUAGAAAAACCGAUAACCAAAACGACGUCAUUGUUUCGUUUUUUCUCAAAUCCAACCAAUCGGUUUAUGGAUCGAUUUUGAGCAUUUGAAUUGCCCCCCCCCAAGACCUAACCAACAUCCACCCUCUGAUAACGAAUUGCAGCCUUGGACCCCUGGUCUCGGCCUGACCUUGGGAAAUCAAGUCUUUUCCUACUUGCUCCUUGGUCCAACCACUUUUGUAGCUACACCCUACGAAGGCUAUCUUACUAAUCUACAAUGCUUUUAAAUAUGAAUGUUUAAUAAAUAAAUUUAUUACUUAAAAUUAAUGAAAAUAAAUAUUCAUUAAAUUUUUUAAUAAUAAACAUUAAUUACAACUAAUAAGGUAAAUGUGUCAAUACAAUAACUUAAAAUAAAUUUUAAAUUAAAAUUUUCAAAUAAUUUUAAUACUUAAAAAUAAAAAUAAGUAAUAAGUUUUAAGUUAACAAGAAUAAUUGAACUUAAAAUCAACUUAAGUUAUUAAGUAAUAAAUAUUAAAUUUUAUAAAACAUCAUUUACCCACAAUCAGUGAUAAAAAUAUCGGUAAUUACAAAUAUAUUAGUACUUCGAUUUUACCGAUAUUGAAUAUAUCGGAAUAGCAAAGGAUAUUUUUUUUAAAAAUAUCGAUAAGUCUAAAAUUCAUCAAAAUUCAUGGAACUCGUGGAAAUGUAAAAGAAACAUGUAAUUAAAAAUAUAAUAAAUAUUUUAAAAUUGUUUUGUUGAAUAAUUUGAUAAAUAUAUAAUAUAAUUUAUCAUAUUUGAUAAUAAUAUUGUAUGCGUGGGUAAAAAAAUAAAUAAAUUCAUGUAAAUUCAUUAUUAAAUUACAUAAAAUAUUAUCCAAUAAUAAUAUUAUAAUAUUUUAUUAUAAUAUAUCUAAUUUUAAAAUAUAUUUAAUAUUAAAAUUAUGAUACAUUUAAUUUAAUUGUAUUAAUAAAUGAUGAUAUAUGUAAAAAAAAUUGAUAUUUAAUUAAUAUAUUAAUAAUAUUAAAAAUACUAUGAAAAAAAUGAUCAUGAUAAUUUUUAUAUUUUUGGGUAAGUAAUUAAAUAAAAAAAUUUAUUUGAUUAUAAAAUAAUUAUCUUUUACUAUUUUGUUUAUAGGAUAACUUUUAAUGUAAAUAAAUUAAGAUAUUUUAAAAGUUAAUAUAUAUUACACCACUUAAAAUAAGGUGAGUUGGACUCCCUCAACUUCGCAGAAAAUAAGGUGAGCUUUGAUCGCAUUUAACUGUCUGACCCUCGUUGGAGCUAAAGGCAGAAAAUAAGGUGAGCUUUGAUCGUGUUUGACUUGACAACAAUUUUUUUCGCCGAAAUUUUGUCGAAAAAAUGUUUUCCAACCUCAUUGAUUAAUGGGUAAAUACUGAAAUUUCGGUAAUUUUGAUCCCCUUUUCAUGAUUACCGAAAGGACAAAAUUUCUUCGAAAUUUGUGGAAAUUUUCAUCCAUGACCACAACUAAUCACGAUACUUCGAUAAAAUUUCAUCGAAAUUUUCAUCCAUGCCCACAACUAAUAUUAUCAUGAAAAAAUACAUUAAAAUUGAUGUUGGGAUCCUCUUCGCAUAUUCCUUCUUAGUAAUAGGAAGAUUAACAAUGACCAAUUAAAGAAAAGGUUAAAAAAUUGAAAGUCGAUGCUGUUCUUAAAAUAUGAUGAAAUGAAGAGUGAGCCGGCCGUUGAUGUAAAAAGAUUAGCAGAAUUGAUGGGGCAACCCUGGCUCCCUGGAGGAAGAGAGAGAUGGUGCAUUACAUGAGGUAAUAAAGCCGUGUAGCUUUGAGAACUUGAGCAACUUGGAGGUGAAUAAGACAGACAGGGAAGCAACAAGCUGGCCAAUCCUUUGUGGUUGCAAAUAAUGCAUAUUUCAGGCGAGGCGAGGUCGGGGAUGGGAAGAGUCAUUUAACGGUGGAAAAAUAGUCAUUAUUGAGUGGAAAAAAAUUAAUUGACUAGUCUUAUUAAAAAAAUUAAAUAUCAUAUGCCCAAUCUUCAUAAAUAAUAUUUUCUAAUUAAAUAAUAAUAUUUCGAAUGAUUAAGAUUUGAAAUAAUAUCUUUUAGAAAUUAAAUAUAUAUAUAUAUAUAUAUAUAUAUAUAUAUAUAUAUAUAUUCAAAUAAAUAGUUUCUAAUCCUUAUUGAUAAGAUUGAUUCCAAAAAUUUUAGGAUAAUGCUGAGGAUAAUUUUAUGAGAGAAUCCAAAGGCAAACAUUAGAAAGAAGCACUUCCAAAUAGAUUUAAGGUCAAACCGUUCAAGCCUUUGAUCAAUCUUAUUAAUGUUAAGGCCUAAACCAUGUUAAAACUCACAUUAGUGUAGAAGUCACAUUAAUGCUUAAGUGAAGUCAAAGCAUGAUUCAAGUAUUCAAGAUCCAAGUCAAAGUUAAAGUUUAAGUCAAAGAAAAGUUUAAGACAAACUUAAUUAAUAUUUGAUAUGUUAAAACUUAAGCGAUUAAUUUCUCAAAAUAUUUGAUUUUUUUCUAAAUGUAAAAAUAACUUUUACACCGAGAAAAAUACAAUCUCAACCCCUACUAUCACCCUCAUCCCUGUUUCUCACUUCCAAUGACAUCAUGACUCCCACCAAUCCUCUUUAAAGCCAAUCCUUUCACUACCGAAUCCAUGGAAACAAACCAAUGGCUUUGGUUUCUUUGACAACCUAAUUUACCAUUCGGUAUGUUGUUGUCACAUUUCUUUGUCAACCCAAUUUUACCAACCAAAAGAAUUUCUAGCAGAAAACAGAGGAGCGCCUUCCUGGAAGACUCCCACUGUUGCCUUGGUUUUCAGUCAGUCUCAACUUUGUGCCCUGGUAACAAGUUGAGGAACAUGGGAACCAGCAAAGUAGCUAAGGUAUUCCAUCAACAGCUAUUCCCUCUUAUUCAAAGUUAUCUUCAGACUCUCAAAUUCAGGAAGAAAAAGAUAUCCCUCAAGCACACUCUUAUGCUCCAUUUGAAUCUUUCAGAAUUAGUAGUGACAGUAAAGAUAUAGGAAUAAUUGGGAUGAUUGUGCAGAGACUGUUCCUCCAUUACAGAAGUCAGCUUCACAUUUUUAUGAUUCUUCUUCAAUCCCUCAUGUGUUCAUUUCUGCUUCUUUUUGUUUGAAACAUCAGAACUGGGGGUUUCCUUCCACUCGUCGGCACUUUCUCCUGAUCCUCGGGAGGUACUUCUCUUGCCACCAACAGAGUGUUUGGAUGCUUGCCUUCUUCUGCACACUGUAGACAUUGGCUUCUUUCCCUGCACAAGUCUCCACUGUAAAAUGUCAGAUCACAAUUUCAAAGUACCCCUGGUGGUUUAUGGAGUGAACUCAUGAAUCAGAACAGAGGCUAACCAUCAAAGUGAACCUUAUCAUAUACAAAAUAUUAUUAUUUUUAAAUGUAUAUAUAUAUAAAUAACAUCUACAUGUUUAUUUUCAUAUCUUCUAUUCAUAAAUCAUUUUACAUAAUUUUAAUAUAAUCAAAUGUAAAAAUAAAGAUGACAUUUCUUCGAACUAUAAAAUAUUUUUCACAUAACUUAACUUGUAGUUAUAUGUAUUUCACAAAAUUGUACAAGAAGAUAUAGAAGCUCCCAAAAAAACAUAAAUACAUAAGACAAAUUUAAUUAAUAAUAAAAGAAAUCUCUUAGAUAAUAUUUUAUUUUUUUUAAUAAAAAUAAAAUUAUAUUUCAUGUACUAUUGAAAAUAAAUAAGAUUACGUUUGACAGUGUUUUUUAAAACUAUUUUUAGUCCUAAAAACACUUAAAAACAUUUUUAAGAUAAAAAAUGGAUGGUUGGUAAUAUUUUGAAAAACCCUUUUGAAAAUUUAGAAAAACAUUUAAAGUGUUUUUUAGAGAAGCAUUGAGAAGGUGUUUCUUUUAAAAAAAACACUUCAAAUUUUUUUGUAUAUUCAUAAAAUACCAUUUCUUGUUAUCCUCCGUUUAUCUUUCACUUUUUGCAUUCUUCUCACUCUCUUCUUCAUCUUUCACUUCCCUUUCAUAAAAAUAAUUUUUUUUUGUUUUUUUUUUGUAGCUGGGGGCCUCGUCUUAAUAGACACCUUAAUGAUUGGGAGGUGGGAGAAGUUGAAAGCUUUUUAGGCAAGCUCUUUCCUAUGACCAUUAGAAGAGGUGUGGAUGAUUUGCUCCGGUGGAAAGAGAACAAGAAUGGAACAUUUUCAGUUAAAUCAUUUUAUAGCUCUCUCUCAAGGGGCAUCAAACCCCCUUUCCCGACCAGAACUAUUUGGACACCUUGGGUCCCAAUUAGAGCUAGCUUCUUUGGUUGGGAGGCGACUUGGAGCAGGCUGCUCACCAUUGACAGUCUGAAGAGAUUUGAUUAGAAUAUUCCCAACAUGUGCUUUUUGUGUAAAAAUGAGGAGGAAACCAUAGAUCACCCUCUUUUAUUUUGUGAGAAGGCCAGAAUGUUAUGACUUUUGAUCUUCUCUCUUUUUGGGGUGCAAUGGAUGAUGCACUCCUCUAUGAAAAGGAACCUCCUGGGUUAGCAUGGUUCUUUUGUGGGCAAAAAAAGGGAGAAAGCUUGGAGAGCGACCCCCCUCUCCCUGAUGUGGACCAUUUGAAAAGAAAGGAAUAGGAGGGUCUUCGAUGAUAUUGAGAGGAACAACCAAGAUAUUAAGUCCAUUUUUUUGUACACUUUUGUGAAUUAGGCUAGGGUGUAUAUAAAGGAACACACUUUCUCUUUGAUGGAUUUUGUAGAUUGACUAGCCAUCAAGUAAGGGUGAGGCUUGUUUGCCCUUUGGUGUUUUACUUUUUUGUAUCUUGGUAUACUCCGUGUAUACUCUUUUCUUAGCCUUUUGGCCUUUAAUGAAAUUACUUUACCUAUAUAAAAAAAUGUAUCAAUAACACAAUGGUUUUAUAUAGCUUUUGAUAUUUCAUAAUUUUUAAUAAUGAAUAAUAAUAAUAAUAAUUACAUAGCUUUGAGUAUGUAUAAAUGUAAUUUUUUUCAUAUAUUUUCUAACUAUAUAACUUUUAAUAUUUAUUUUAUAUAGUUUAAAGUGAUGAAUAAUAAAAAUUUAAGUAAUUAAAUAAUAUAAGAAAAUAUAUAAUUAUAAUGAUUACAUAAAAGAAAACUAUAUUAUAACAUACCCUUGUAAUAUUUCAUAUGGAAGUCUUAAAAGAAAAUGAAUGAUGUCUCAAAUUAUUGGUGACAGUCGCAUUGAUAAUGUGUUAUAAAAUAAAAUAAUGAAAAGAAGAAAAGGGACAAUAAAUGGGAAUGUUUAGAGAAAAUAAAAUAUUAUUUCAUUAAACGUUCUCCUCCUUAUAUAAAGAGUCAGGAAUAAAUUUAUAUUAGUAUGAAUGAUCAUUUACAAAUUUCAUAAUUCAAUAAAUUCUCAUAUUUUAUAUUAAAUAAAAAUAUUAAUAAAUAAUAAAAAAAAAAUUAUCAAACCACGAUGCUAAGAAUAAGAUUAUUCAAUGUAUCAAUGAAGAGUGUAAUAAGCUUAUUAAAAUAUUUGAUUUUAUUUCUACAAAUAUUGAUAAUGCUAGACAUUAAAAAAAUAUUGAUAAAAAAGUUAAAAAAAAUAAUGGUUUAACUUUUCUUUUAAAUUGAAAGGGUGUUUAAAAAAAUGACCACAAAAAAACUAAUAACUUUGCAAUUUAAAAUUCAUGAAUAAAUAAAUUUUUAAUAAAAUCGUACUAUAUAUGGACUAACAGCCGUUUCUUUGUGGGUAGGGAAAAAAAUUGUUUCCUGAGUUAGAUAAAAGCCUGUCCAUUGGAACCCAUCAAAAUUUUAAAGGUCUGUUGAUUCUCUGCACUGUCGUCUUCAAGAUUUAUUUGAUCAUUAGAUUAUGAAUCUGAUUUGUUAUAUUUACUUGAAGCUGUUAUCAUGUUAUUUGUGAUGGCAGAGUAGGUGUUUGUUGUAGUUACAUACUAACAUCUUUGGCUCUGUUUUGUCAGGGUUGAUAAUCUACUAUGAUGGCUAAAUAUUAGUGCUCCUUCUCUCGAUAUCAGCAUUGGGUUGGUCUCAAUGUUCUAAAAGGUUCCAGAGUUCAAACCCAGGUUUCAUUUGGUUAAUUUUUUCCAGCAUCUGUUUAUGUUUGGCCGUCAAUUCUCCCCUGCCAUACACAAGAAGUUAUAUUCACCGAUCUCAUGAAACUCAGAACAUUGUGAGAACUAAACUCCAUAAUUAGAAGGAAAAAAGUCUCUGAAAUUUUAUUGAUGUUGACAGUGCCUAGCUACAUAGACAUUAAGCUUCAUAACGGAAAAAAAAUUAACAGAUGUGAUACAUGACUAAAUCACAACAGAAUGAUAAUUGAUAUCCUUAAGAGUGAAAUUCCUACCACUUUAGAUAGCUGAGAAAUGGUUUAUUUGAGACAUGUAUGCACUUGACAACCCAACCGAGUGGCCAAGAUACUGCUGCAAUUCCAAGGCAUGCACCCCAUUGUCCCCAAUUCAGCCUCUCCGUAUCUGCAAACUUCUUCAAAAAUUCCACCAUAACCACCUGAAGAAUAAUGGUUAUCCCAAUGAUCCCCAAAAACAACUUGUUUUUAUGUAUCCCUUCAAACACAUUCUUCUUCUCCAGCUUCCUUGCAUUGAAUUCAUUGAAGACCUGGCACAGUACGAAAGUAUUGAAUAUCAAGGUGUCCUUUACCUUCUCGUUCACACCAAAGAUUGAUUCUCCUUUGAAUUGUAAGGUCAAGAGGACAGCUAUCUGAUACAAUGCUUGGGCUAGUAAAUUCCUCCACAUGAUGUUGGUGAUAAGUGGCUCCGUCCGACCCACAGGUGGUCUAUCCAUUAGCCCCUUGGUGGGUUGCUCUGUGGAGAGAGCAAGAGCACCUAGUGUAUCCAUGAUCAAGUUUACCCACAAUAAUUGCACUGCUGUUAAGGGGACCUCGCCAGCUGAAACUGCUGCUACAAAGUUGAUUACAAG